AGUCAAGUAGUUGCAACAGAGACCAAACAGCCUGUAAAGCCUUAAAAUAUUUACUCUUUGGCCCCUUGAAGAAAACAUUUCCUGAUCUAAGUUAGGAGAAAGAAAGGACUUUCAGAAUGCCACUAACAUGAGGCUGUCUUGAGACUGGAGAUGAUCUGGAGAAAAAUCAAAUGUCCUGGGAUCCAGAGUGCUUCUUAAUACGUAACUCUUAUCUACACCUGGCCUGUUUGGGCCUGAACUCUUGAAACCUAAAAGCCAGAAGUAGCUCCUCCUCUGCUGCUCUUCUGUUUUUUGCCAAUACAUCUUCUCUCCAGAGCAGUGAGUUCAGAAUAGCCUCUUGCCUUGAUUGGCUUUAGAGGAACAAAGGGGAAUAGCAAGUGCCAGAAGAUAUUGGUUAAAAUUUGGGGAGAAAUGAAUCAACACCUGUGAUCCAGCAAAGCGACAGCACAUGCCUUCUUCAUGGGGAGAGUGACUAAAGUGUGUGGCUGGAGGCCAGGACUGUUAAUCUAGUGGAGGCUGCUGCACAUGGCUGUAAGAGGAGAACUCCCCACCAUCAGAAUUGUUAUGCUGCAAGAUUCUUCCUCCUUUGCAGUGGUCCAUCUCUUCACUGAGUUAUCCUCUGUCCUCAAUUCUUCCUUGUCCUGGACUAAUUUAAAUUAUGAAACAAACACUUCAAAGGAAUCUUUUUCCAUCAGCCAAGAUUGUUCACCAGCCAAGAAACCCUUGGGGCAACCAAGUUACCUAUUAAAUCUUGAUGAAGA